GGAUUCCAAAAAGUAAAUUGAGUGUCUGCGGUAUAUACAUUAUUAGAUAUUCAGAAAGAAAUGCUAAGUCAUGGAUCACAGAAGAGUGGAUUUUAAUGCAAUGACUAGCAUUAUAAGAAAAGAUUUGGGGCACAAGGAGUCAUAGGAGAAGGUGAGCUGAUGAUGCAAGCAGACUGGAAGACAAUCACAAGUCAAGGAAUGAAAGGAACUCCGGCAACCACCAAAAGGAUUCUUUGCACCGUUAUCAAGGAAUUUUAAACUCAAAUAGCAACAUGCUUCAUUAUUCUCUGACCUGAGAACUACUGGUAUUUUCAUGCCUUGAUGUCUGAUGAAAUGUAUGUUGUUAUAAAUGUUACUUGCUGUGUUAGCCAGUCUCCAAGAUGACCCAAUGAUCUCUGCUUGCUGAUAUUCAUGUCUUUGUGUUGUCCCUGUAAACACUGAGUCAGCACUGGUGUAUAUGGCUAUAGAAUAUGACAGAAGAAAUAAUAUGUAA